GGAGUGACUUGCUAGCUGAAGAAUUAAAUAGCAUUGCAAAAGCCACCAAAUUAACACUAAUGGAAGUGUGAUUUGGACAUAAUUUAUUUGCAAACAAAGCAAGCCCAGCAUUGAAACGUGAAACAGGGGUUGUGGAUAACAUCUUUCUUUGUGGAAUGGAAAAUAUUUUAUGUUCACAUCAUCACCUUCAUUAACCAAGCUGGAUACAGGUGUCCUCAAAAUAGCAUUAUUAUUUGCUAAAAGACUUCCCACUGCCAACCUCAGAGCCAGCUAAUUAGGGCAGAUUUGGCUGCAGCUGGCAGAGCCCAUUGUCCGUAGGAAAAAGGGUUUGUCCAUCCUCAGGGUCUGAAGGCCCCUCCGAGUAAACCCUAGUCAGGUCAACAGCUCCCUGAUCACCUUAUGAUAAAAUGCUGAACUAGGGAGGCAAGCAGGAAAAAAAUCAGUGCGAAAGAAGUCAACCCAAAAGCGAGCACUUGCCCUCAGGUCCCAGCCCCACAAAGGAAGGGGACCUCAAGCUCUGGGGGAUAGACCCCAACACGGAAGUGAAAAAUGAUUUGAGCCGCGGUGAAGGCACCAAAGCCCAGAAAUAGAAAGAUAGUGUAUACCUUUUGGAGCUUUUAAGUGAGAACCCUGUUUAAAGGGCAGGUACAGUCGCACAGAUCUUUUUACAGUUCCUACCUUCCUUUUUUCCUCCCCUCUCUAUUUUAGAGAACUGUAGAGCCGGACAUCUCAGACUACAAUGUGCAGACAGAUCACCUGGGGAACUUGCUAAGAAGCAGAAACUACUUCAGUAGGUCUGGGGUGGGGCCUGAAUCUGCUUUUUUAACCAGCUCCUGCCCCUGGUCCUGUUUUAGCAAGUAUGUGAGUCACUUUCCCAUACCUCUAUGGUAUGUGAGCACACCAUACCUGACACCCACAAUUUAAAGAAGGACGUUUAAUGUGGCUAAUGGUUUCAGGGGAUCCAGUCCAUAGUUGGCUGCUCAACCAUGGUUGUUCUUGGCAGGAACAUAAUGGCAGAAGGAUGUGGAGGAGGAAAGGUGAUUCGAGUCAUAGCAGCCUAGAAGGAGAGUGAGUAACAGCACCCAAGAAAAAGGGGCAGGGACCAGAUAUAGACCCAGGCCACGGCCCCGUGAUCCACCCAACAAGCCAGGACCCCAACGUGCCCUUUACUGACCUCGCAGGCAUUUCCGGAUGCAGUCAAGCUGACGUAUUGGAAUCACAGUUGUGGUAGGAUAGACAGUAGUCAGCAGUUGGCAGCAUCCUUCCUUCUGCUUCCUGUCCUAAGAUGACUGUGUGGACUAAGAUGACUGAAAAGGUAAAGCCCGAGACAAGGAUUUGGAGGUGGGAAGGUUAAUUGGAAGUAAUUCCAGAAGGCAGAGUGCUAUGCCUAAAAUCCUCCCUCCCCUAUUUUUGUGUUGAAACUUAGUCCCCAUUGUGCUAGCACUUUUAGGAGGUAACCAUAUCAGGAGGAUGGAGCGCUGCUUGUAAAAAGUCGUGCAGGAGUGAGCUCACUGUCCUGCUCUUCCACCCAUGAAGACAGUAUUUUCAGCCUCCUGGCCCCGGAGUACACAGCACUCGCCUCUCUGUCAUGUGACAGUGUGACCAGAAGACCCUCCCCAGACAGUGAAUCUGCCAGCACCUGUACUGUGGGCUUCACAGCCUCCAAAAAUCAUCCUAACCAAUAGGAGACAAGCCUACUGCCGAAAGAUCCUCUCUAUCCCUGGGUCCCAAGUGAAAUUGUAGCCGGUCCUGGAAGGGAACAGGGAGCCCUCACCUCCAGAGAGUGAAGUUCAACUUGGGAGUCCUCUGCUGUUUUCUGCCUGCUGUGAAGAGACUUUGGAUACUCUCUGCACAUCAAGCUGCUGUUUCCACCCUCCUCCCAACUCCCACAGGUGAUUUGUUCUUCCCGCUCCCACUUCCCUAGCUGAGCCUGGGCUAAAUCCUGAGCACCAGCCUGUUUGGUUGCCAAGGCGGGAGACAUGGCUUUCACCCUGGCAGAUCCACAUGCUGGCAAGUGCUGAUGGGCCACGGCUCCUGCUGCAGCUCCUGUCUUCCUGAAGGAACUGGGACCUCUGGCUUUGAUUUCUGUGUGUUUGAUUUUAGUGGAUGGUGCUCACAGACUGGGGAGUUUGGGCUGAUGACCUCUUUGUGGAGGGGAGAUCACUCUGUCCUAGUUUAUCUCCAAAACCCAAGUCUCAGAUUGGUCUCCUCUCUUAUGGAGAGCAGAGUACGUCCUGUGCAGGCGUGUGGGGCGGGAGAGCAGAAAGUUCAGAGUGAGAGAAAUGUGGACAAUCUCAACACUUAAGAAUUUCAGAUCCAGUUGAGGAUAUAGCUUAGCAACACAGCGCCUGCCUGGCAAGCGCAAAGCCAUGAGUUUGAUUCCCAGUAUAAAACAAACAAACAAUCUCAGAUUCAGUUCAGGAGGCGCAGUGCUGACUCUGAUGAGCUGAAUGGCCUCAAGGAGUUAAAUAAAUGCAGAGUGGGCAUUGGGUGUGCUUGGGCAUGCACCCAUGGCGACAGUGCCAUGGACUAGGAGGAGACACCGCCACAGUUCACCUUGUUUUCGGAAGGCUUGGUAAAGGAGGAGGCUCUGGUUGGGAGAAUGUGUCAGGAUUGCCAUAUGUGAAGGAGAGUCACGCUUUGAGAAACAGCGAGAGAUGCUAAGUCAGAGGUGUGACUGGCUAAGGUGAAGCAUCUCGUCUGAAAAACUAUUUGACAAAGACAAUUGGCAUCCCUGCUGUGUGUCAGCGACUAUGCUGACUGCCAUGGUUUAUGUCUGUGGCCCCCAGGCCUCAUAAGUUUGCAUUGUGCAUUUGUGAUGCUUCAUUGUCUAGUGCUUAGAUUGAUGGGUGGAGCCAGGAUGUGAUGUAAUGGCAGGAAGAAGGCGUGUCUUGCUUUUUGCUGGUUCCUGUUUGCUGUUUGCAGCUGCCAUGAACUGCGGCCCAGCCAUGCCCGCCUGCCUGGGAGCCAACUGAGUGUGGACUGAAACCUCCAAACACUGUAAGAAAUAAACCUUUCCUUUCCCAA